AUACAUAAACCAAAGCAUAAUUACAGUAUAUUUGGUUGGGUGUAAUAGGAAUAGAUUACAGCCCAAUUCAGUAGUCGAUCACUAAACCAAUGUUUGGUUGGCUGUAAUUUCUAUUACAGCCUGCAUUGAAUCCCUUCUUAUUCAGGGAAAAGGCUGCAUAGCCAUUCCUUUACUCACCACCGAAUAGGCAUUCAAUGGGAUCCUUUUUUUCCCUUUUCAAUUUUUACCCUCCUUCUUCGUUCUUUCUCUCUUUUUUUUUUUUUUUUCUGUUCUUCACUCGAUAUUACCUUCACCUUCAAUUCCUCCUAGACGGUUGGCCAUGAAGCUCUGGAGGUUGCCAAGACGGUUCUCGAAGUCGCCAACAUCACUUGGACCGCCAUGGAAUGUUGCCACCUCCGUCACAACCCCGACGAUGAUUCUCCUGAAAAUAAUGACGCUUUCAAGCACGAAAAAGAAUUGGAAACCCUAAAAUCUGAAAAUCAAUCUCAAGAAUCUUUUGGAACAGAACCUCAAACUCUUCAACAAUCUCUCAGAAUCUCCUGCUUAUUUAAACGAUUGUCCUCCUGAGGUUCAUAAAUUUCAUAACCCUUUUUUCGUGUUUGAUUUUAUUUUCAGAACCUGUCAGCAAAGGUUAUAUUUUGCAAGUACAGUGCUAAGUUCUACUAAACAUUUGAUGUCAUCCAAAAAAUGCGUCAUCCAGUGAUCUACAACAAAAGUGAAGAAUGCUCAAAAUUUGAACAGAUUAAUCUAUGAAAAUUACUCUGUAUGGAAAGACAUCAGUGCUCUGUCAUGUUGAUUUCUAGUUGGUCACAACUCAGAAGCAUACACAUUCAUAAGUAACAUCAAUAUCAAAAUGCCAAUUUUUGCUAUUGUGCUUAUUAGAUGAGAAUGGCAAUGUCUAUUUUCACUGAAUCCUGAAAAUGAAAGAUUUGUCAAGUAUUACAAAGAAAAUGGUUACUGUUAUUCAUAUUCUGUUUGAUGACUGGUGAAAAUUGCGUGUAUACUUGUUGCUAAAAUUGUAUGCAGUUCACGGGUUCAAAAGUUGUGGAACGCUAAAAUGACCAUUUUUCAGGUACUCAUUAUGGCAUUUGUAUACCUCUGAGCUAAUAUAAGUUUGGUUUUAUUUAGAGUGACAGAUGUUGUUUAGAUGGACUAAAUUAAAAUGCUUGUUUCAUAGUGCUAAACCUAUUGUUUGAAAACCACUCAUUUUAAGCUUAAAAAGUAUGCCCUUUUGGAUUUUUAAGACUGUGGCUAAACUUUUCAUUUGGUCCCUAGCUGCUAUCCUCUUAUCACCCAAUUGGAUACAAACUAUAGCUACAAGUUUUGUGUUAUAAUAGGCAAGAUUUUGAAGGUCGUCCCUGACUUUCUAUCUGCUUGGUUAUGGGUUCAAACCUUGAAACAACCUCUGUGAAUAGCGAAGGCAGCAUACAUUAGACCUGCCCCUGUUUAUAGCCAAGAUCCUUGUGCACUAUGUACGACCUUUUUUUUGUGUGUGCUUGGAUAGAUUUCAUUCAGUUGUAUCAUUGAUAACAGAAUUAAGAUUGACGGCCUAUGAAGAUUUUUCUUUUCAGAAUAUUUAAGAAUGCAUGUUGUGCCAUAUAAAGCGAGUAUUUGGUUCCAUGUUGUAACUAUUAAUGUUGCUUUGAAUUUUGCAGCUACUAUGAUAAAUCAUAUUACUUGAGACACAAAUAUGUCUGAACCAUUUUUAGAGGUUGAUGUGAAGUUGAAUAUAUGUCUUGAGGUUGUUAUCUUAUUGGCUUCAAAUAUCAUGGUAGUUACUUGGAUAUUUAACUUCAAUUAUGCCCCGUGACAAAACAUUGUUCUUUUGGGUUGUCCAGAAUCCAUCUUAGAUGUUUUUGCCUUCCAAAAUAAUAUGAAAUUGUUAAGUUUUGCAGUUCCUUUUAGGUUUAUUGAAUUUCAUAAUUUUUAGGCUCCUGGUGCGUUACGUUAAUUUGGGAGCCCCUUUGACAGACAGUUCUGGCUCAUAUGAUUCGAUUUAUAGUUUACUUCUGUAAAAUCUUGAUUCUAUUCAUAUUUUUUAGAAUGUCAGCAUGAUAAUGUGAUUGUAUUUCUGUUCUAGUAUGCUAACAUGUUUAAUUAUCACAUCUUUCUAGCUGUUUAAGCAAUGAUUUUUUAUUUUACUUUGACAACAUUAUGGAUGAGGUUGAAUUUUGUAAACAGAUUUACAUGCGACCUUUUAUUUUACUGCCAACUUUAGCUGUCAAGGGUCCGGGAAAUAUAAUGAUACAAGCUCUACUGGAUAAACUUGUUCCUUUGCUUCUUCAGCAACUAGUGCAAGAUUAUAGCAACUGGGUUCAACUCCAAAAGCAGCUGAUAAAUUAGCUUCUUUGUUCAUAUCUGCUAGCAGAUUCUGCUUUGUAAAGGGGCAAAACACCAAUCAGCUAACAGGCUAAAGCUAGGUGCAGGCUCGCCAUUCUUGUUGGUCCGUUUCCUUUAUUUUGUUAGGUUUUACAUUUUCUUUAUAAAUUAUAGUAUUAAAUAUCGAAAUUUGUAAAGUGAUGAUUACUCCAUUUUAAGGCUACCUGUUUUUGGUAAUUGAUAGCUUAAUUAUUAAGGUUUUAGUGAUAAA